rnacentral:rRNA from 1 species
AUUGAACGCUGGCGGCAGGCCUAACACAUGCAAGUCGAGCGGAUGAAGGGAGCUUGCUCCUGGAUUCAGCGGCGGACGGGUGAGUAAUGCCUAGGAAUCUGCCUGGUAGUGGGGGAUAACGUCCGGAAACGGGCGCUAAUACCGCAUACGUCCUGAGGGAGAAAGUGGGGGAUCUUCGGACCUCACGCUAUCAGAUGAGCCUAGGUCGGAUUAGCUAGUUGGUGGGGUAAAGGCCUACCAAGGCGACGAUCCGUAACUGGUCUGAGAGGAUGAUCAGUCACACUGGAACUGAGACACGGUCCAGACUCCUACGGGAGGCAGCAGUGGGGAAUAUUGGCCCAUGGGCGCCAGCCUGCUCCCGCCCUGCCGCGUGUGUGAAGAAGGUCUUCGGAUUGUAAAGCACUUUAAGUUGGGAGGAAGGGCAGUAAGUUAAUACCUUGCUGUUUUGACGUUACCAACAGAAUAAGCACCGGCUAACUUCGUG